GACAAAUCACUCCAACGCGCUUUGCUCUUCGCUUUCUUGCAUAACUGCUCCUACCUGUGCCAGGUAAAUGCAAAAAAGGAAGAUACUCCUCAAAUCAUACAUUUCCUUUAAUGAUCACUUCAAUGUCUAUAGGCAUGCACUUAUGCAUGAGCAUCCUUAAUCUCUCGCAUCUAACCUUGUAAAGUUUCAUUAUCAUAUUUCUAAGGAGACAAGAAAAUCAUUUGUGCAACUUUGAAACAAUGUUAUCC
rnacentral:lncRNA from 1 species